CAGCAGCCACGGGAAUACGUAGGGUGCGAGCGUUAAUCGGAAUUACUGGGCGUAAAGCGUGCGCAGGCGGUUAUAUAAGACAGAUGUGAAAUCCCCGGGCUCAACCUGGGAACUGCAUCUGAGACUGUAUGGCUAGAGUGUGUCAGAGGGGGGUAGAAUUCCACGUGUAGCAGUGAAAUGCGUAGAUAUGUGGAGGAAUACCGAUGGCGAAGGCAAUCCCCUGGACCUGUACUGACGCUCAUGCACGAAAGCGUGGGGAGCAAACAGGAUUAGAUACCCGCGUAGUCCCUGUCUCUUAUAC
rnacentral:rRNA from 1 species